CGCUGGCGGCAGGCCUAACACAUGCAAGUCGAGCGGUAGAGAGAAGCUUGCUUCUCUUGAGAGCGGCGGACGGGUGAGUAAUGCCUAGGAAUCUGCCUGGUAGUGGGGGAUAACGUUCGGAAACGGACGCUAAUACCGCAUACGUCCUACGGGAGAAAGCAGGGGACCUUCGGGCCUUGCGCUAUCAGAUGAGCCUAGGUCGGAUUAGCUAGUUGGUGAGGUAAUGGCUCACCAAGGCGACGAUCCGUAACUGGUCUGAGAGGAUGAUCAGUCACACUGGAACUGAGACACGGUCCAGACUCCUACGGGAGGCAGCAGUGGGGAAUAUUGGACAAUGGGCGAAAGCCUGAUCCAGCCAUGCCGCGUGUGUGAAGAAGGUCUUCGGAUUGUAAAGCACUUUAAGUUGGGAGGAAGGGCAUUAACCUAAUACGUUAGUGUUUUGACGUUACCGACAGAAUAAGCACCGGCUAACUCUGUGCCAGCAGCCGCGGUAAUACAGAGGGUGCAAGCGUUAAUCGGAAUUACUGGGCGUAAAGCGCGCGUAGGUGGUUUGUUAAGUUGGGAUGUGAAAAUCCCCGGGGCUCAACCUGGGAACUGCAUUCAAAACUGACUGACUAGAGUAUGGUAGAG
rnacentral:rRNA from 1 species